rnacentral:rRNA from 1 species
GUCCUAGCCGUAAACGGUGCGCAUUUGCUGUGAGCGGAAUCGACCCCGUUCGUGGCGAAGCUAACGCGUUAAGUGCGCCGCCUGGGAAGUACGGUCGCAAGAUUAAAACUCAAAGAAAUUGACGGGGCCUGCACAAGCGGUGGAGUAUGUGGCUUAAUUCGAUGCAACGCGAAGAACCUUACCUGGCCUUGACAUGCAAGUGGUAGAAGCCUGAAAGGGUGACGACCCCGCAAGGGGAGCUUGCACAGGUGCUGCAUGGCUGUCGU